GCUCAUUCCUUCUAUUCUUCUCUCUAUGCGUCGGUGUUCUAACCAAUAAUCACCGAGGCGAUAUUCUGCCCGAUCGAUUCGGGAACCAACUAACGAAUGUCAAAGUGCUGUUCUGAUCUCGUGACCAUCGUUAGGUUUGAUAUGGUUUUACACAAAUACGUAUUCCGUUCUAUUAAACUAUAUCUAUAUGUUUAACUAUCAGAAUACUCACAACUAUACACUUACAAUCAAACAAGCUGUUUAAUCAUCUGUCUGAAUAAGGCUAUACUUUGUGAAUUUUGUUAAGGUUCUGAUCUCGUGACCAUCGUUAGGUUUGGUAUGGUUUUACACAAAUACGUAUUCCGUUCUGUUAAACUAUAUCUAUAUGUUUAACUAUCACAAUACUCACAACUAUACACUUACAAUCAAACAAGCUGUUUAAUCAUCAGAAGGUUCAGAAUAAUAAAGUAUAUGUUUAAUCAUCAGAAGGAGUAGAAUCAAGAAGCUUGUUAAAUCAAUAUUGCAUGCUUAUAAUGUGAGUCAUUCUCUUUUUAUCAACAAUGUUUUACAAUACUCAAAUUAUUUUCAAAAGUUAUAAUUACAGGGAUUAAGUCUUAGUUAUCUUGAAUCACUGGCAAGUAGGGUAUUGUGCACAUUACUAAUUUCUCACGGUUAGGUUAACAAACCUAACAGUGAUAAUCAUCACUACUUGGGUGAAAGGACCCAAUAGUGGUAUGACCAUCAUCACCAGGGUGUGACACGAUGCCAGAUAAAAAUAAGAUAGAAGCCAUUGUAAUCGCUCUUAUGCUAUAAUUUAUAACAAUGUGUCAUUUUGUACAAACUGAAUGAACUCACCAGUAUUUCCCGCUGACAAAAUGUUUUUAAAACGCGUUUUAGGUAAUUACAGUAGAUCAGAAUAAGAGUUGGAUACGUCACCAAAAGGCUUACAGAGGUGGCUUAAUUUAUCAAUUAAAUUAAAUUAAGAAAAGUUGUUUUAUGUAUUCGGGUUUAUCCCAUAUUAAAGUUACCUUUCAAAACAUGGUUUUAUCCCAUCUAUUUAAUAAAUAAAAUCCGGUGUUUUCUAAACUCUGAUAUUUUUCCUAACUCACGGUCCUGAUAAAUUUCCGCUGCACUACUUUUCUAAAUAACCACCGGUACCACUUGACUGUUCGUGGCUUCCAGCCAGGGUGUGGUCGGGGGUCGUGACACUUGAUGUGUGCGUGUGAGGUUAUAUUUUUAAGUAUAUUUUUAGCUCUUUUUACUCGCAAUCAAGUUUUAGAUUUAUAAAACACGAUAUUCUAGUAUCACUCUGCACACACGAUAGGGCAAGUGCACCCAUCGCGGACGUAGUAUAGUGAUGGUAAGAUACCGAGGUUGUACAAGGACACAAGAGCUUUUAAUACCGGCUUAUCGUUAACGUCUAAUCGAACCAAACUUUGAUGAAAACGUUUUUAAAGCUAGAAAAAGAUAAAAUAAUAAAGAAAAAUAAAAUAUAAGGAAAAACAAAUAGACAAGAAGGAAUCACUUGGUUCCAACUCCUCUUUUAAGUAUCCUUUAGUGAUUUCCGCACUUUAAGUUAUAGUAGUAGGCCCCUCUUUUGAAGGCGACGUUACCCUCAACCUAUUGAUUUGAGUCAGCAGGGAUACAGUCCCGCAAGGUCGGUUUAAAGUUUAAAUAGUAGUUUAUAAAUAAGUGAUUCAAGCGUUUCUUACUUCUCCCGCGGGGGUUAAGACCGUCCGCUCGUGAAGUCCUACUAAGCUUGAACCAGGUUCUCGCAGGAUAUAUACACUAAACGAGACAUACAAUUUACCCAACCCCCUUCUAACCCCCUUCCAGGCAAUUAACGUGCUUUAUAUAGACCGUAAAGACAUGAAUAUGUGAAUCAACAACAGAUGAAGAAUGAUUAGAUAAAUUCGCCUUCAAUAUAAAAACUAGUUAUUAAAGUCAUUAAUACAUACCCAAUUAAAAAGGAGCCAAAGAUUG
rnacentral:lncRNA from 1 species